UACGAAGGGGGCUAGCGUUGUUCGGAAUUACUGGGCGUAAAGCGCGCGCAGGCGCCAUUCAAGUCGGGGGUGAAAUCCCAGAGCUCGACUCUGGAAUUGCCUUCGAGACUGAUUGGCUUCGAGUACGGGAGAGGUGAGUGGAAUUCCCAGUGUAGAGGUGAAAUUCGUAGAUAUCGGAAGGAACAUCAGUGGCGAAAGCGACUUCCUGGACCAGUACCGACGUCAGGCACGAAAGCGUGGGGAGCAAACAGG
rnacentral:rRNA from 1 species